rnacentral:rRNA from 1 species
GUGUCAGCCGCCGCGGUAAUACGGAGGUGGCAAGCGUUGUUCGGAAUUACUGGGCGUAAAGGGCGCGUAGGCGGGGAGGCAAGUCGGGUGUGAAAUCCCUCGGCUCAACUGAGGAACUGCGCCCGAAACUGCUUCUCUUGAGUCCCGGAGAGGAAGAUGGAAUUCCCGGUGUAGCGGUGAAAUGUGUAGAGAUCGGGAGGAACACCGGUGGCGAAGGCGGUCUUCUGGACGGUGACUGACGCUGAGGCGCGAAAGCGUGGGGAGCAAACGGGAUUAGAUACCCGCGUAGUCC